rnacentral:rRNA from 1 species
AACGAACGCUGGCGGCAUGCCUAACACAUGCAAGUCGAACGAAGGCUUCGGCCUUAGUGGCGCACGGGUGCGUAACGCGUGGGAAUCUGCCCUUUGCUUCGGAAUAACAGUUAGAAAUGACUGCUAAUACCGGAUGAUGUCGUAAGACCAAAGAUUUAUCGGCAAAGGAUGAGCCCGCGUAAGAUUAGGUAGUUGGUGGGGUAAUGGCCUACCAAGCCGACGAUCUUUAGCUGGUCUGAGAGGAUGAUCAGCCACACUGGGACUGAGACACGGCCCAGACUCCUACGGGAGGCAGCAGUGGGGAAUAUUGGACAAUGGGCGAAAGCCUGAUCCAGCAAUGCCGCGUGAGUGAUGAAGGCCUUAGGGUUGUAAAGCUCUUUUACCAGGGAUGAUAAUGACAGUACCUGGAGAAUAAGCUCCGGCUAACUCCGUG